AUUGAACGCUGGCGGCAGGCCUAACACAUGCAAGUCGAGCGGAUGAAGGGAGCUUGCUCCUGGAUUCAGCGGCGGACGGGUGAGUAAUGCCUAGGAAUCUGCCUGGUCGUGGGGGAUAACGUCCGGAAACGGGCGCUAAUACCGCAUACGUUCUGAGGGUGAACGUGGGGGAUCUUCGGACCUCACGCUAUCAGAUGAGCCUAGGUCGUAUUAGCUAGUUGGUGGGGUAAAGGCCUACCAAGGCGACGAUCCGUAACUGGUCUGAGAGGAUGAUCAGUCACACUGGAACUGAGACACGGUCCAGACUCCUACGGGAGGCAGCAGUGGGGAAUAUUGGACAAUGGGCGAAAGCCUGAUGCAGCCAUGCCGCGUGUGUGAAGAAGGUCUUCGGAUUGUAAAGCACUUUAAGUUGGGAGGAAGGGCAGUAAGUUAAUACCUUGCUGUUUUGACGUUACCAACAGAAUAAGCACCGGCUAACUUCGUG
rnacentral:rRNA from 1 species